AAUACAGGGCCCAAGAACUGGUUUUCACCCAGCAACUCAGUAAAACCUCUCUUCCAGAACAUUCCAGAACCUUCUAGAACUGUGCUGUCAUGGGGAAGCAAACUCUGUAAAUGGAUGAAGAUCUGCCAUCUCUUGAGCACCAGAAGUUUCUGACUAAUUUGAUCCAGAGAAAGAACAGUAGAGAGGCACGAAUGGCAAACGAAGACCCCAGAGACUGUGAACAUCCGUGUGACCCUGAGCAUGUCACUUCACAGUGGAAAGAUGAGGACAACGGGUCUCUUGGGCCAAACCAAACUGGAAGCUCUUGAUGGAGCUGGGACCACGGACAGCUACCACCCCCUACCUCCAGGGUGGAGCUGGCAGACGAAGAGCAGAGGGGUGCCAGGGGUGCCUGGGGGUGCCCGGCAUGGCCUCAUGCAUAGGCAGCUGGACUGCCGUGCUCUGUGCUCUGUGCUCUGCUCAGGGAGGAUGGACAGCUGCGCCUCACAACUGGAUGUCAACCAUAUAGUUGGCUCCCUCCCCUGGGAACUUUCCCUCCUAAACCUCCAUGGGCCGGGAAGCCUAAUAAGCAAGUCCACUAGACCUUGUGCAGCGUACACGCAGAAGGAAUGGACAAGGCCUGGGUGCAUGAGCCCCGCAAGUCAGAGCGCUGCGGCACACAGGCACUGGUUAUCCUUCUUUACGUUUGCCUCCAGCUCUGCAGCGACUGAGCUGCAGCAAGCCCCCAGGGCACUGGAUUGUGAACCUGAGCUUCCGCUGCCCUGGUGUCCACCACCAAAAACGUCGGCAGCUUCUGUGCACAGUUGCCAGCUGCCCUGAACACAAACCAGAAUUAGACAUUCGUUCCUGGAAAAUAUAAUUGAUUAAGUUGAGCUGCUAGACAUUCAUCAAACUGUAUGCCCUGUGAAUAGUGUAUGUGCCCUCUUUCCCAGGACCUGUGGAACCAUCACAAAAUUGACUACAUACCGGGCAUGAGAAAAACUACAAGGUAUUUCAAAUAUAGAAAGAGUACAAGCCACAUAUGAUGUAAUUCUUUAUUAUAUUUAAUAUAUUUAAGUAUAUAUUAUGUAUUUUAUACAGCAUAUAUAUUUAUUUUCUAUAUAAUAGAAAUCCCAUUGCAUCUGGAAAAGAUCUGCACUUAAAAGAAAG
rnacentral:lncRNA from 1 species